rnacentral:lncRNA from 13 species
AUGUCAGGACAAAGCUGCUCACCUUCACCCAGAACACCACUGUCACCUCCUCACAGAGGAGAAACAUCUUUGUUCCUCGGUCUCAAAAGAGCUGGCUUUGUUGAUAUGAUGGGCCCCAAAGAGCAAGUCGUCCUCAUCAGCAGUUUUUCCUCCUUCCUCCUCCCCAUUCUUCCUGAGAUUGCACCAGGUGUGUCAUCUUCCAAGGUGAUACAUCCAUUUUGGCUUUGGCAGGACUCCUGCUUGUUGGGGCUCAGGAAGUUCACUUCGACCUCUUAAGUCUCUGUGUUGACAUGUCCUUGCCUGUAAACACGUAAGAAUUGAGAGGGGAUCUGAUGAUUCCAAGAUAGAAAAUUGUUCUCUAACCAAAUUUCAUAUUUUAAGGCCUGUGACUCUGGGACCAUGGGUGCCACGUUGAGAAGGGUUCCACCCAGUGGUCAUGAGCACAGACCUUGUUCCUCCUCCAGGAGCCUGGCUCCUCCAGGCAGGUUAUUCGACAUUGAUGAACCUCAGUAUUCUGUGAAAUGGGGAUCCUAGUUAAAUGAGAUCAUGUAUGUAAAGCUCUUAGCACCCAGCCUGGUGUAUGGUAUGUGCUCCAUGCAUGCUGUACUGGUUCUUAGUGGGUGUCAGAGCUUGCGGUAAAAGCAGUGUGAGCCAUCCUACUUCCAUGCGACCCUCCAGAAGCAGCAGCCUAAUGUAAGGGGCCGUGUUAAGUAUCAGAGAGGGAGAAAGGGUCAUUUUCAUUUACUCAGCACCUCCCAGAUAACAAGGACCAGAUACCCAAGAAUGUUGUCUCAUUCAGUUACCAUAAAGGCCCUGUGAAGUGAGUUUCUGUUGCACCUUGCUUGCAAGUGAGGAAAUUGAGACUCAGGGCAAGGGGCAGGUGACAAAGGAAUUUCUCUGUCAUACAGCUAGCAAGAGGCAAUGCUGGGUUUGACGGGCUCCAGAAUUCAUGUUUGAACUGUCUGAAAACAACUAAGGACUUUUUCUGCUUUUAUUUUUAUUUAUUUAUUUUUGAGACGGAGUCUUUGCUCUGUCACCCAGGCUGGAGUGCAGUAGUGUGAUCUUGGCUCACUGUAACCUCUGCCUCCUGGGUUUAAGUGAUUCUCCUGCCUCAGCCUCCCGAGUAGCUGAGGUGCCUGCCACCUUGCCCAGCUAAUUUUCUUCCUUUUUUUUUUUUUUUUUUUUAGUAAAGAUGGGGUUUCACCAUAUUGGCCAGGCUGGUCUCGAACUCUUGAUCUUGUGAUCAGCCCACCUCGGCCUCCCAAAGUGCUGGAAU